UCUUACGUCCCUCACCCUAUGUUCCUGUGUUUUGUACUCUUUCGUAACAGCCCUCAAUGUCUUGGUAUAUACUAUGUGAAGGAGACAAAAUUCUAGAUAUAGGACCGCGCUCUGAAAAAAGGGAAAUAAGUGUGUUUUCUGCAAAAGAGAACAUCCCUAUCCUAUCCUCUCCAUUCCCCUGAAACCCUACACAUCACUGUUCUCCCGCCCUUUCUCUUCCUUUCCCCUGCCCUUGCACCGCCGCCGCCUUGCCUUACCUCCCCGGCUUCUCCUCGCCGACGACGGCUUUCCCCUCACGCUCUCCCGUACCCUCCUCCUCUCUUGGCGCUCCCUCCAUCACCCCCCUCCCAGUAGAGCAAGGGGAUUUAGGGACUGGAUGGCGCAGCGUUGGAUUUGGGUGCGGUGAUGGAGUUUCGCCGGCGACGGCCUCCCCCUCGCGCUCUUCCAUGUCCUGCCCAUCUCCUGCCGCACCCUCAAGCACUCUCCGCCCGUUUCUCCUCGCCACCCGUUGCAGCAGUUACCCUGUUUUGUGUUGGGCUCCACGGAGCUGCGACGACGGUAGCCUCGGCCAGGAAGCGACCCAUGGACCAAUGGUGGGAGCAUUUGGCAAGGACACACUCACUCAAGAACCAGACAUUGGCCUGCGAUGGGAAACAAGCUCGAGGAUGCCAGGUUCGGUCGCCAUUGAGAUGGCUACAGACUUGAUCCUUCCACUCUCACAGCCGUCAACAACAUCGGGGCGAUUCGUUUUGCUGCCUGGUGGGCUAUUGUUUACUGCUGUCUGCUUGCUGCUGAAUGAAGCAGCUAGCAAAUAUUGUUCCAAACUAAAAGUUGUAGUGGUUUGGUGUGAUGAGGAAGCCAGAAAAUUAAUGAUUUUCUGUACAAUUGGCACUGGACAUUCUUUCUGUAUCCAAUUGGCACUGGACAUUCUUUCUGUAUCCAGAUUCAUUGAAGCAUGUAAUAUUUCAUCUUUGUACCAUGCUUCUAUUUAAGAGGACAUGGCCACCGCUUUUUGGAGGGUGUUUGGGAGUGGGAUAGGGCGGCCCAGAGGAGAAUAUUUCCUCCAGAUGCUGGAUAGAGGGAUCCGGUUGAUUUGGCCGGAUGCAACCGCCCGAGGCUCGGGCGAGCCGGGCAAGCGAGUUGCGUAACUCGCGUCACCCCUCACCACCACGACGCGAGCGAGGCGACGAGCGCGGUGGCCGGCGAGAGGGGCGACGAGCUCGGCGGCCGGCGUGGGCGACGAGAGGGGGCGAUGAGCUCGGCGGCCGGCGAGAGAGGCGACGAGCGCGGCGGCCGCCGAGAGAGGCGACGAGCUCGGCGGCCGGUGCGGGCAACGAGCGCGGUGGCCGGCGAGAGAGGCGACGAGCUUGGCGGCUGGCGCGGGCGACGAGUGUGGCGGGCGGCGAGAGAGGUGACGAGCUCGGCAGCUGGCGCGGGUGACGAGAGAGGAAGGCGGCGGCGGGAGGAGGCGAGCCUCGGUGGUGGGAGGAGGCGGCCGGCGGCGGGAGGAAGCCGGCGGGAGGAGGCUGCUAGCGGCGUCGGCGAGCCCAGAUCUGGCACUGCUUUUUUUUCUUUUUUCUUUUUUCUUUUUCUUUUUUCUAUGUGUAUUUAUAAUGGAAUGUGUAUUUAUAAUGGAGUGUGUAUUUAUAAUGGAAUGUGUAUUAUGUAUUAAUUUGAUGGGGUAUAUUCACCAUCUCAAGUGAGAGGUGACCACACCUACAAAUCCACCAUACUUCCUCCAACCAAACAAAAAAUUGGAUCACCAAAUCCACCUUUGUCCCUACAACCAAACAAAAAACUGGACCGCCAUAUCCAGCAAAAUAUGGACCACCGUAUCCCAUCCAAUCUUGACCAGGAACCAAACACACCCUUAGUGUUCUAUACAAGCAUGUUGACUGUUUGAUAAAAAAAAUCACAAUACUGACUCUGGUUUUUGAAAGAAGUUAGUGUUCUAGACAAGUACAUCAGGGCUUCUGUCCUAGAUCCCCAUCCAUUUGUGCCUAUGAAUCAUGUUGCUUCUCAGAACAGAUGGUAAAUUCAAUAUGCAGAUUUAUUUACUACAGCAAAAAAAUAACACUCAAUAUGCAGAUUAGUUUUCUAUUAAGCAAGCAUGUAUAACUGGAUAUGUGCUUAGGACAGAGGUGAUAUUGGUAGGAAAAUUCCUAUCCAGAUUAGUUUCCUAUUAAGCAAGCAUGUAUAACUGGAUAUGUGCUUAGGACAGGGGUGAUAUAUUGGUAGGAAAAUUCCUAUCCAGAAUCUGGUAUGGCGCCACUGUAAACAGAAACUCCGUGUGUGUUUAUUUCUACUUAGUGAUCCUGGAUCCUGCUAAUAUUUAGACCUUGAGAUCCUGCUAAUAUUUGGACCUUGAAUUAUAUCAUUCCUCCACAUACACAGCCUGUUGUAACUGCAGCUCUUAUCUGUUCUCUCUGUUCUUACCUUGAAUUAUGCAGAUUUUUGCAUGGUCAAAUUAGAUAGCCAUUAAAAAAACUAUGGUAUGUUGCUUCUCAGAGCACAUGGUAGAUUCGAUAUGGAGAUUCAUUUUCCAGAAAAAAAAGAGGCAAUAGCAGAUUAGUUUUCUGUAACAAAAAAUAUCACAUCAUUUUCUGCUGGCGAUAGGAAUUUGCCCAGUAAUUCUGUGGCAUGCUGCCACCAAAAUUUAGCAUGUGUCUUUCGUGUUGCUACACAGAACAUAUUACCUAUGUGAUUAAUAAGAUGAAUAUAUCACGUUUGGUUUGUCGGUUUAAUUAGGUGGUGUUUAUAGUUCAUCCUGUGAUGCCUUGGAUCCUUUGUGUGGUUCACCGUGGGCAUGUGGUUGGGUGCGUGUGUGCCAUUGGUCCUAACGCUCUAUGGCCCACCUGGAAAUCACCUUGGUCCAUGCUGCGCCUGGCCUAUGUAGCUCCCUCCCUGCCUGACAGCCUUGACUUUUGGUGCACCCCCACGUUUACCCAGCAUAGCCUCGUGUUUCUCUAUGCGAUGUCACUAUGUGCGACAGUGCGAGGCAGGCACGUUUCUUCAUGAUUCUCCUACCAACGUCUGGUCCACCGUAAUCCCUGGUCACACGAGUGCUCCUCUCUACCUGUGUUUUGUGCGUUAGGAGCACGUUCAUCCAGUGCAACGAAAGGAUUGGGCAAAUUACCUACUGGUUAUUACCUUGGAUAAAUGAUGAACAUGCACCUAUUCGUUGCAGAGCCAAUGACAGGUGGGGUCGGUUUUGUGGGUUGUCCCAUAUACCAUGUGUUAUGUGUAUCCAAGAGGCUGUGAGUCUAUCGUGCCAUGUUUUUCUAAGCGCCGCGUGCUACAGUGUCUGACGUGCCGCGUCAGGCCACAUCAAAUCGUCCUGCGCACGAGCCGUACCGGCAUGCGCGCAGGCAUCGAUGCAUCCGGCAUGGCCCUAGCCUUUCCUAUCGUUCCUCUUACCCGGUUCGUUAGUAGAGAUUGAGGCCAUUCAAACAGCUGCAUUGCUUCGGUUGUCUUCUUGGCUCUUCUCUCAUCUUUCCCCUUUUCGCUCUUACAUCAAUGGCCAACACUAGGGGGGAUCGUGGAUGCUGCGCCGGCGCUGCUGCUUAGAAUUUGCCUCACGCCUCUAGGGUGGUCCCCCAGCCACGCUUCCACGCCGUCUUCCUCUCGAAUUUCGCAGGCGUGGCCCUCACCAAUCUACCCCAUAAUUUCCUGCCUAUUUAUCGAUGUUAGUUCCAAUGGUUGUAUUUGUGAUGUAUAAUGUACUCUAGAUUAUGCAUUCUUCUCCACAAACAAUGUUAACAUUCAGUCUAUGUAUUUUAUGUCUACUUAAUCCAUCACUGGUUUUCCUCACAA